rnacentral:rRNA from 1 species
AUUAGAUACCCUAUUAUUUUUGAUGUUAAUUUCUUGGCCUGAGUAGUAGUAGUUAUGUUCUUGAAACUUAAAGAAUUUGGCGGUAUCCUAUUCCUUUUAGAGGAAUCUGUCCCGUUAUCGAUAAUCCGCGUUGGACCUUACUUAGUUUUUUUGUUUGUAUACCUCCGUUCUGGUGAGAAUCUUUUUAGGGUUUAAUUUUCUUGAUUUUUGAUUUGUGAUUUUAUUUCAGGUCAAGGUGCAGCUUAUGGCUGAGGUGGUGAUGGAUUACAUUUGUUUUUGGUAUUGGUUUAUUGGUUGUAAUUCUGGUAUUAAAUUGGAUUUGAUUGUAAUUUGUUGAAGAUUGUAUUAAUGAAUUUGGCUCUGGGAUAUGUACACAUCGCCCG